ACAAAAUUUAUAAACAGAACUCAAGCAGAAUACCUUUGAAUUUUUACAACGUUGUCUUUUGACAUGAACGCGGUACACCCUUCUCCGUAAAUACGGCAAUACGGGAGAACGGGACGCCUCCGAGUCCGAAGGGCGGGAAAUUUUUUGUGCCGCUGACCGUGCUGCUAUGUUUGCAAAGAGUUGCUUUCUACCCUCUUACGUUUUGCCUGCUAACAAGACAAAUUUGUUUUUCUCCAAGCUGUUGCAGUAAUAAUAGUAAUCGUAAACAAAAAAUAAAACGGUAUGAAGAAUUUCCCGCCAUUUUGGAAGGGUCUGAUUUCCGACUCCGAUAUUUGCGGAGACUAGGGCGCCAUUAAGGUUUGAGCGCCAGGUGACAGCAGAUACAUCGACAGGGCAGAUGGAGAAAACGGAGAGAAAAAAGUUAUUUUUUAACCAAGAUCUCAAUUCGUCACAGUUCCACCUUUGACCUUUUCAAGUUAUCAUCAUGCCAGUGGCUUGGUUUAAAAUGAUAGCAUUAAUAGCAAGGGACAUAUGAUUUGGUAAAUGAUAUAAGGUUCUCCAAUAUCAAAUGUACUAUAUUAAAGUUUACAAACGUGUAAUGUGGAAAAGAUUUGCAAAGCUGGGAAGAUAUCCAGCCCUAAAUUGGAAGAACAGCAUGAAGAAAUAACAUGUAGCCAACUUAAUUGUUAAACAUAAUGAAUUUUUGCCUGGAAAAUUGCUACUUCAGAUUUGAUCAACAUUAAAAUUGAUUUAUUUUAA